ACCGUCUCUCAGAUAAUCAACUUUCAGUUCAUCACCACCCUUUAGAUAAUCGACUCUCAAGUCCAUCAGGGAGAGAGGAGUCUCUCCUUGCACCAUAGGCUUCCCCCCCAGAAACACAAUUGAAAACUCUUGUGUUUCCAUGUCACUCGUGGCACUGCCCAGAGAACAUCUGCCCUCGUGACUUCUUCCCUCCAUGUCCAGUGCUCUCAUCACUGCGCAUGGACCAGGACUGCCUUUAGGGUUCCCCUUUUAAGGAUGCUCCACCCAGUUUCAAAAAAAGCAGCAGUCUCUCUACUUCGGGACACCAGCCCCCCCCAAAUUUAUCCCCUGGGGCCGAGGGGCCUUGUGAACAGAGAUCUUCCCCUCCAUGAAGACAGAGGGCAUCCCACACCCUCCUCAGCCAUCUCUGCUCACAUCACUGCUUCACUGCACUCUCUUUGGCUUCAAGGCAUUGCCUCCUCCUAAAUGCAGUCUCUGUGUUACAGGAAAAACACGGGUCUGUCCAUGGCCAUACAAGAAAGAGUCCAGCUCAAGGCCACUCCAUCAUCUCCUCCCACCCAGGAUUCUUCUCACCUCUUCUAACAUCUCUCACUCUCACUCACUUUCAUCACACUUGCCCACGGCUUCAUCUCUCUCUCUUCGUUCAGUCUCAGGAGGAUCAGUAUUUAGGGAGAUCUGGAACGCAGAUUCCUAGCCCAAGGACCUCAGAACUUUUCCUCCUGGAACUCAGUUUCUUUCCUGCAGCAUUAGAUUUCAUGCAAUGCUGUGUCCAGGUGUGGCUCAUCAGGAGGAGAGAGAGAUGGAGUUCCUGGAGUGGGUCCAGAGGGCAGCAAAGAUGAGGAAGGGCCUGGAGCAUCUCCCUGCCGAGGAAAGGCUGAG